GAUAAGAGGGUUUGAUAUUAGCCAAGGAGACUGCCUACAAAAACCAAUCGACAACAGUUUCCUCGACCCCUCUCUCUUUCUUUCUCUUUGUAUUAUUAGUUAUAUGCAGGCAAGUCAUCCUUGGCUACAACAUUACCCUCUAC
rfam:Cucumis melo, WGS project CAJI01000000 data, contig: 16210